CUAAUUUUCGCAAUUGGCAAUCAGUCUUGUGUGCUUUAUGAGCGAAUUAGGACAUAAACGCUCACAUUAUUGUGGACGGCUUGCCUUCUCGUGGGGCCCGAGUGCAACCGAGAAAGGGAGUUGAAAAUGGUGCAGGCGCCGUUUGCAUGGAAACGUGUCUUUACAAGCGUGCCUCUACAAAGCACGAUAGUGGGGGCAACAACACCGAGAAGAAACUAACAAGUUGGCAAGCCAGUUUAUUCAAAUCAUUGUAUAUCUAGUGGUUUUGGAGUAUGUAAGAAUAAACGGAUAAAUCAUUACAAACGUGGAUUUGCCAACAGUAUUAUUACCUUGCGAAAGAAAUGGACAUCAUGGGAAGUAAAUGAAAGUUUCAAUAGAGCAGGGUCCCCCUGCCAGCUUUGACAGAUAUGUCCUCCAGACAUCAGGACUGUCUCGCACUAAUUUGCAAGCAUUUAUUCCCUGGGCUCCCAGACUUUCCUGUGGAAUAAGUGGAGAUUCAAGAGGAAAGCAGCCGAGGAAUGCCCAUGAUGAUAGAAGAGGUGGGCGCGUACACCAUAGGCCUGAUGAACACACAAACAACACUCCAGAAGUAGAAAACUUUUAUCGUGCAAAAGUCUGGCAGACACAAUGGUCUAAACGUGGAGAGCAGGAGGGAGGAUACAAUGGUUCAAACGUGGAGAGCAGGAGGGAGGACACAAUGGUUCAAACGUGGAGAGCAGGAGGGAGGAUACAAUGGUCUAAACGUGGAGAGCAGGAGGGAGGAUACAAUGGUCUAAACGUGGAGAGCAGGAGGGAGGAUACAAUGGUUCAAACGUGGAGAGCAGGAGGGAGGACACAAUGGUCUAAACGUGGAGAGCAGGAGGGAGGAUACAAUGGUCUAAACGGGGAGAGCAGGAGGGAGGAUACAAUGGUCUAAACGUGGAUAGCAGGAGGGAGGACACAAUGGUCUAAACGUGGAGAGCAGGAGGGAGGAUACAAUGGUCUAAACGUGGAUAGCAGGAGGGAGGACACAAUGGUCUAAACGUGGAUAGCAGGAGGGAGGACACAAUGGUCUAAACGUGGAGAGCAGGAGGGAGGACACAAUGGUCUAAACGUGGAGAGCAGGAGGGAGGACACAAUGGUCUAAACGUGGAGAGCAGGAGGGAGGACACAAUGGUCUAAACAUGGAGAGCAGGAGGGAGGACACAAUGGUCUAAACGUGGAUAGCAGGAGGGAGGACACAAUGGUCUAAACGUGGAUAGCAGGAGGGAGGAUACAAUAGUCUAAACGUGGAGAGCAGGAGGGAGGACACAACAGUCGAAACGUGGAGAGCAGGAGGGAGGACACAAUAGUCGAAACGUGGAGAGCAGGAGGGAGGACACAAUAGUCGAAACGUGGAGAGCAGGAGGGAGGACACAAUGGUCUAAACGUGGAGAGCAGGAGGGAGGACACAAUGGUCUAAACGUGGAGAGCAGGAGGGAGGACACAAUGGUCUAAACGUGGAGAGCAGGAGGGAGGACACAAUGGUCUAAACGUGGAGAGCAGGAGGGAGGAUACAAUAGUCUAAACGUGGAGAGCAGGAGGGAGGAUACAAUGGUCUAAACGUGGAGAGCAGGAGGGAGGAUACAAUGGUCUAAACGUGGAGAGCAGGAGGAGGUUAUAGAGCGGCUGGUCAGUGUACCUGCACACUCACUGUCCCUCUCAUCAAUUGAAUUAAUAUAAUUUAUUACCACUCUGAAGCCCAGGGAAGACCACAGGUAGCACAACACACACACACACACACACACACACACACACACACAGAGCUGGCAUUUCCAUGCAGUGACCCGUACCCCCACAGUGUCACCCUGUGGAAGAUGGCAGCAGCUGCCGAGCAGAGCUGAUGGUGGGUGGUGUAACUACAGUGUUUGUAAUCAGACUCCCAUCCGCUACACACUCUGCCUGCUAACAUAUUCUACAUUACCAGACAGCAGAGCAGAGCACCUCAGCCCUGUAUAUAUCUGCAUAGUAAUAUGACUAAGACAUAUCUGGGUAAUAAUAAACUCUUUAUUCUCUGUCCUCCAUAAAGAAAUGGAGGUAGAAUACUGUGUAUUAUCUGAAAGACUGAGUUUAGAAUGGCAUGUAAAGGGAGAUCGGAUGGGGGGAUGGUAUGUGGAAUUAGUUAGUGCCUUUGUGACAACUGUUGAUGUUCAAGUUUUAUUAUACUAACAUACUGUAUUAGUCAAUACAAACUAAAUAAACCUGUAAAAAGGGCUAAAAGUUUUAAUGUCAAUGCUUUUCUUGCAAUCUCCCAUCGGCUCCAACCUCCCAUCUGAGAACAUUUGAUUGACUAAUUUGCAGUUUUCCCCCUUCCUUUCCCUCCCCCCAUCCAGAGGGUGCUGUUAAAACGUUGUGU
ensembl:lncRNA